rnacentral:tRNA from 1 species
AAGAUACUAGUAAAACAAAUUACAUCACUUUGUCAAGGUGAAAUUGCAAGUUAAACCCUUGCGUAUCUUA